CCCCGAGAACCAGUGUCCGGAGGGGAAACCAACCAGGGCCGGGGACUUCGCGCUAGGACUCUGUCGCCAGCCACAAGGGGCAGGGUGGGCGGAAAGUACCCAAAAGUCCCCCGGGGAGACCCACCCUCCUCCAGAGGACCCGGCUGUGGGUCCAGGGGGGACUCAGUCCCGAGGGCUCCGGAGUGCCCUCCGCCGAGCUUGGGAUGGUCACCUGCCAAGAUGUAAGCUCACAGCGAGCUCCCCUCAAGCGACUCCUGUGAGGGCUCUGCUAGGGGCUCGGCUCUGGCAUGAAGAGCCCUGGCCUAGGACCCUGGCCUGGAAACACCCCACACCCGUUACUGCACGUUUGCUCCCCAGUGCCUCCUGCAGGGCCCCAGUUGCUGGAGGGGCACAGAGCAGAGCCACGGGAGCCUCCAUCACCCGGGUCAGGAAACGGGCGGCCUGGAAGACAGGACUCUCCAGAGGGAUGUAUACAAGUCUUUAUAAAAGAACCAUCACUCAAUAAAUACGCAGCUUUACACAGCCAGCCUGAGCCUGGGUGGCCAGCAGGACUGGGAGGGAGGAUGUUGGGGACAGGGCGGUCCCCUCUGAGGCCAGAUGAGGGUGGCAGUGGGACUGGCACCCGGGAGUCCAGCCCGGAGGGUCAGAGCUGAUAACCUCAGGAGUCGGGGACAAGGGACCCUCUGGACAGGCGGGGGGGGUGCUGUAGCCUGGGCCAGGGGCUCUGUCGAGCUGCCCCCACCCCAUCCAGUCCAGCAAGUGCAAGUCAGCCAGGGUGGCAGGCAGGGGUCUGGCCCACCACUCCAACUCAUGCCACAGGAGGCAGCAGCUGAAGUAGGUACCACACUUUUAGGAGCCAUGUGUCUGCUGUCACUGGUCAGUGGCACUCUGAGGGAGCUCCCUCUGCUCAGACCUCCCUGCAAGGUAUGGAGGGGAAGGACAGCCUUCCUUAGAGGAUGCCACAGAGAAGUCCUUCCUGCCCUGACCUCAGGCCCCUCUGCUGCCGCUCAC
rnacentral:lncRNA from 1 species